rnacentral:rRNA from 1 species
UACGUAGGGUGCGAGCGUUAAUCGGAAUUACUGGGCGUAAAGCGUGCGCAGGCGGUUUUGUAAGCCGGAUGUGAAAUCCCCGGGCUUAACCUGGGAAUGGCAUUCGGGACUGCAAGGCUGGAGUGCGGCAGAGGAGACUGGAAUUCCGUGGUGAGCAGUGAAAUGCGUAGAUAUCAGGAGGAACACCGAUGGCGAAGGCAGGUCUCUGGGCUGACACUGACGCUCAUGCACGAAAGCGUGGGGAGC